GUUCCUUCGAUGGAUUCCUGGUCGAGACGUGGGGGAGGCGGAGGGGCGAUUGUAUCCGUGAAUCGCUUGAAAAUAAUGUGGUUGGGGAAGACCGACGAGCUAUCUACGGGUUCUUGGAAAGAUCCACGAGGAAACUAUUCGGAGCCACUGCAAUUUCGUGUUCACGACGUGCGCGAUUCUAUCCAGUGAGAUGUUGGCGAUUGUUGAAGGCAUACAUAUGUUCCGCAAGCGAAUAAAGAAUAGACACCCUGAUUAAGGAUCCAGGUAGCAGACGAGCACCUACCAGGAAGUGUCCGGGAAUUGGGAUCACGAAGACGACGCGAAGUGACUGACAGAAACGGUCAUUGUCGGCCAGAAAAUCGCCGGCUAAAUGGAUCUCCGUGACAGAUAACCGCGUGCACGCCAAUCGCGCAUUUUCUCGCGUCGCGGGGUUUCGUUUCGCGAUCAUUCGUGGCAGUGUUUCUUCAAGUCAUUUUGCUAGGACGCGAAAGAGUUAUCGAAAUAAAUUUUAUUUGACGAGAGUAUUUAAGUUUCGUCCCUACAACUAACCGUGACGAACAAAAUAAACACAUGACAAACCUUGACAUUGCACGAGGACAGACUCACAUAUUAUAAUAAUAACAUAUCUUUAAAUAUCGAUGAGAGCAUUUUGUAAUUAAUCAUUCGCAAAAAGCACACACAAGCUACUGAAUGUACAAUGUAUAUAUGAUAUUUGUUGAAGGCAAACGUCACAUUUGGUCUCACAUUGCAUAACAUCAUGUCCAUUUAUUGUUAUUAAAUUUAUCGAAUACACAUAAAUUUAAUGAAUUUUGCGUAAAUACAGAUGUGUAGAGUUGACACAAAAAUAUAAUCGAUCGUUCGCGCGGCGCGCGCGUGUGUGCGUGUGUGUAUGUGUGUGUGUAUGACUAACGUGCGUACGAGCGUCAGUCUAUCUCGUCUCGCCUACGCACUCAUCUUCGACCGGUCGUCAAGCGAGAGAUAAAGGAAAAAGGGCGAAUAUAUAUAUAUAUAUAAAAAAAAAUAAAGGAUGACGAGAAAAGGGGGACGACGCCUGUGUGUCGAUAAUGCGCGCGUGAUUACGCAAACGCAAUGACGGCAUUUGUGUUGCAACCCGAGAUGACAUCCGGUGUCAAGGUAAACCGCGCACGAACGAGCGAUCGGAGUUUCUUCGAGAUUAUUUCUCUCGAUUGCGAGAAAAGAUCCAAAUAGAAUUUUUUAGACUCUAUUUUAAUCGUGCGUCUUCCCGACGUUUUUACGAAUACGAGUGUGAAAAUGAAUGACAAAGUGGUCUCGCGAUGAUAAUUGGAUAGAGACAAAAAAAAAAAGAAAGAAAAA